rfam:Triticum aestivum genome assembly, contig: Triticum_aestivum_CS42_TGACv1_scaffold_211552_3AS
AUUAUACUUCCUUCGUUCGAAAAAACUUGUCCCAAACUUGUCUAUCAAAUAAACGUAUCUAGCACUAACUUGGUGCUAGAUACAUUCAUUUGAGGGACAAACUUUUUCGGGCGGAGGGAGUACUUA